ACAUAUGACGGCACAACUACACUGCUACAUGCAUUGGGGGCAGGGGUCACUAUUAACGGAUGGGCGCUGUGGAGUUCACUGUUAAAGGGGGCGGGCACUGUGGAGGUCACUGUUAAAGGGGCGGUCACUGUUAAAGGGGCGGGCACUGUGAAGGUCACUGUGAAAGGGGC